rnacentral:lncRNA from 1 species
AUAGACUUUAGAAACUUCCACUGCAUGAUAAAAACUCAAUAUAGAUCUAUUGACAUGUAUGAUCUACCCAUAGAAAAUGAUCAAACACAAAAAAUCAUGAACUAGGUUUUCAAAAUAUUCAUAUCAACAACCAUUAGCCUAAUAAGGGUAAAAAAAUGAAAGCAAGAAAGUAGAAAAAUUAGAGCUUUAACAGAAAAAAACACAACAGUACUCAGUAAUUAUUAGCGGGGAAGCAUUACAUUAAAAUAAUGAGCAAAUACGACAGGGAAAUAGUAAAACUAAAUAAAAGAAGCCAAUAAACCCACAACUCGCCCCGCAUUAGUUUUUCAAAAACAUAUUUCAACCCCCCCCCCUCCCCCACCUCCACACGCAUCACGCCCUUACAACCCGCCCCACAUUUGUUUUUCAAAAACAUAUUUCAACCACCACCACCACCACCCCGCCCCAUUGCCAUCCCUAGGUGCCUGAAAUGCAUUGACAACCCUAUUAAGAAAAGUGCAAUAAUUCAAUAUUGAUUAAGUAGUCAUUUGCCAGAGGUGUAACUAAACUGCAAAUGGAUGUUUUCAUCACAAUGUGACAACAUUACCUUCAGUUCGAAUGACUUAAUUACUUAACAUUACCUUCAAUUCAAAUGACUUAAUUACUUUUAGUCAAUAUUACCACGCAGACAUGGAGACAAAGGAGGUUUCUCUUAGAAUAACCUGAGUGAAAAGGAAACGGCGAGCAUUAUGACCUGAAAGAUAGAAACCUUAGCUUGUAAAUUGUUCUUUUUCUCAAUUCAAAUGCAGGUUCCUUACUAAUUGCUGAGACUUGAAAAAGAUAAGAGGUGAAAUGUCACUUAUGGACAAGGCAAAGUUAUAGUGGAUUGAAGGCAUAAGACAGGUACAAUAACAAAAGCAUGUAUGCACAUGUACCCCCAACUAAAGACACCAAAGAGUAAGAGGAAAACAACCUUACACAACAAGAGUCCAAAAAUAACUAACUAACCAAAGAGGAGGUAGGUUUUAAGACUUCGUUAUACGCAGGAGAUGUGGAAACCAAAGUAGGAAGGGAUAUUGAAAGCAUGUACAAAUAAGGAUAUAAAAAUUGAAAGAAGACAGUUGUAAUAACUUUUCAAGACAAAGGGCGUGCUACAAUUUAAAAUAAUGUUUGGCCUUGGGAUCUUUUGGAUACACUAGAAUAACCAUAGAUGUGAACAUCACUGGAAGGUUUUUGCUUAACCUAAAAUCACCAACUAGCAUGUGAGAAGGGCUCAAUCAAGGGACCACCACCACUAACAUAGUUUUAGAUUCCAUCAUUAGCAUGAGAAAAGGCAUUACCUAAUUCUAAUUAUCAAAAGUAACAAUAAUAGUUAGGCCACUUUGUACUCCAAUGUACUAAAGGUUGCAACUCACAAUAAGAAAAUCAGAAUACGAUGAAUAAUACCCCGUUCACUUCAGAUUUGCUUUAAAUAAGACAUCCUAUACAGAUAGAAAAGUAAUUAUUUCUAUGCAUUACAAAUAGAAAAUUCCCAUCAUUUGACUCAGAUUGAUCCUAAGUGGUUAUGAGAAGUCAAUUUAAAUGUCUCCUUAGUGGCUUCCUCCCAAAGUAAUAAUGAAAAUACAGACCUUGAAUGCAUAUGACGGAAGGCCAAAACCCAAGGUACAGUUUGAACCCCUUGAGUAGUUCAACAUACAAUGCAAAAUUGGUAAUACAUAAAACACAAAGGUAAAAGGAUAACAAGAAAGAACUGUCAUUAACAAAAACAUACGUGAACCAUAUUUACAAUUCAAUACCAAAAAAAUUUCAGGCCAGAAUAUAUCAGUAACCUAGGUUGCUCGGACUCUCCAAAAAUGUUACCACACCCAAUGUCAGAUCCUCCAAUAAUGCACUAUUUUUGGAGGAUCCAACAUGCUCUUGGUGGCAUGUUUGAAGAGUCUGAGCAACAUAGUCAGUAAUGUAAUAUUCAAGCAUAGUUCUUUAAGAAGGAGAAGUGGAUAUAUUAAUACAUUUGAUGUGAAGUGGAUAUGUUCUUACAUACUUGGAAAAAGGACAAACUGUAGCCACAACAGUUGGACCAGGAGAGCACACCUUAUUAGUCAAUGUAAAUAAUAUUCACCGUGCUUCAUUACAUGGCUCAACUCAAGUUCUAAACUUUCAACCACCAGUAACUCAGAAAUCCACCACCACCUCCAUCCCCUAUAAAUAUCCUUGUUCCUGGACACUCAAGUUAGUCUCUCUCAGUAUCUCCUUUCCUCUCUUCCACUCCCACUCUCUCUCUAUAUAUAUAUAUAUCUCCCUCUCUCUAUAUCUUUCAUAAGUGCACGUGAGUGGGUGGUAUUUGUGCAUGGAUACAGAAGCGCAUGCAGAAAAAGAAUUUAUACACAGUUAAGCUCUCUCUAUAACAGUCCAAAACAAGCAAACAAGAGGAAAGAGGAAGAAGCUUAAAGAAGAUGGCAGCAGAACAGACCCAAAAGCACCCGACAUUACCAGAGGUACGAACUACAGAAUCCUUUUAAAACAUUUGAAAUCACAGGAAAUAUGUGUAUUAAUCACCCUGACAAGCACAAUUUCCCUCCCAUAAUUUCUAGGUCAAGGAGGAAUUGAAGAAAAUAAUUGACAGAGGUUUUCCUAUUCUUGCUAUGGGCUUGGCGACCUAUUUGAAAAACAUGAUUUUAGUUAUGUGCAUGGGAAGGCUGGGAAGCUUGGAGCUGGCAGGGGGUGCACUGGCCAUUGGCUUCACCAAUAUUACUGGUUACUCCGUAUUGUCUGGCCUAGCCUUGGGGAUGGAACCACUUUCUAGCCAGGCUUUUGGAUCAAGAAACUUGACUUUAGUGUCUCUUGCCCUCCAAAGGACAAUCUUUAUGUUAUUAACUGCAUCUAUACCUAUUGCUUUUUUAUGGUUUAAUUUUGAGUCUCUCAUGCUUAAGCUACACCAAGACUCACAAAUAAUACAUGUAGCAAGUGUAUUUUGCAGAUUUGCUGUCCCGGAUCUUAUUGCUAACAGCUUUCUUCACCCUUUACGCAUCUACUUACGGUGUAAAGGUACAACAUGGCCUCUAUUAUGGUGUACUUCACUUGCAACAAUGCUGCAUUUCCCUAUCACAGUUUACCUGACUUUUACUCUCUGUCUUGGUAUCCAAGGAAUUGCAAUUUCAACCUUUGUCUCCAACUUUGUCACCUUAUUCUUCCUUUUAGGCUAUAUAUUCUUUACUUAUGACCAAGACGGAUCUCCGUCAAAACCCCUUGCAGAAAAUGUAAAACUUCUUCCUUCCAUUUCUGUGGGAGAGCAAUGGAUAAUGCUUCUUCAACUUGCUAUACCUAGCUGUUUAGCAGUUUGCUUAGAGUGGUGGUGGUAUGAAUUCAUGACAGUUCUAGCCGGCUACCUUGACAGACCUGAAGUUCCACUUGCUGCAUCUGCUAUCGUAAUACAAACCACAUCCCUCAUGUACACAUUGCCAUCGGCCCUAAGUGCUUCAGUCUCAAGUAGGGUAGGGAAUGAACUUGGAGCGGGACGACCAGCUAAGGCCCGCUUGGCAACAGGGAUAGCCAUAGGGCUGGCAUUUUUGACUUCAACAUUUGGAUUCAUACUGACCACCAUAGGGAGAGAAGCAUGGGGAAGAGUCUUUACAAAAGAUAGAGAAGUUCUGGAGCUAACAGCGACCGUUCUUCCCAUUAUUGGACUUUGUGAACUUGCUAAUUGUCCACAAACAACAUGUUGUGGGGUUCUUCGGGGGAGUGCUAGGCCCGGUGUUGGUGCAGGUAUUAACUUUUACUCAUUCUAUUUGAUGGGAACACCAGUGGCCAUUAUAUUGGCCUUCGUGUGGAAGCUAGGAUUUUUGGGCCUUUGUUAUGGGCUUCUAGCAGCUCAAGUGGCAUGUGUAAUCUCAAUGUUAAUAGUCACUUAUAGUACUGAUUGGGAAGGAGCAUCCUUGAAGGCAAAACAACUAGUGGGAAGAACUAAUGAACUCCCAUAUGAAGAUCAACUGGUAAAAAUUGAGGAGGGUAAUGGAUUUCUCAAACGAUUUAGCUUCUGAAGUGGAAGGAAAUCUAAGGAUGCAAUGGAUGCAAAGGAAAAGGAAGAGAUGGCACAGACAAGAAGAAAACAAAGAACAUUACAUUCUCUCAGUAUUUCAAGUAAUAGAAUAUGCAACAAGUACCUUGGACUUUUGACGUUAAAGCAACUAGUUUUAUAUCUAACAGGAUUGUUGAUGGGAUAAUAGAAGUAUAGGCAAGCAGAAGUGUGUUUUAUAGCCCAAACGUGUAAAUGUAAGAGGCUUUUGGUUUGCAUUUUCUAGAUGUCAAUAUAUGUUAUCUUAGUAGCUAUGACAUAUACAUUUGCAUGAGCUUCUAGUGUCUAUAUUAUAGUUAUCAGACUAACCAUCACAACAUGCUUCAAAUUCAAUGCACCCUCUCUCCCUCCUUAAAAUGUGAAGACAGAAAACGAGGCAUUUUAUCUCUGCAUUUGUGGGGCAUAAGCUCUAAGAGAAGAAGCAAAAGCCCUAUGAACUUCAAUUUUGGAUUAUCAAGUAUUAUUUGAAUAUUUAAAAGACACUUUAGGAGAAAAAAAUAUUCAUCGUCAGGGUAACAAUCUUAUAAAUGGAACAAUUUUGAAUAGAAAAUUAUACUUCUCUUGGAGAAAUCAAAUACAAAAGAGAUAGUUUUUUCUGAAGAUGUAAAGGUUUACUACAACACACAUUUAGCUCAUAACAUUGAUUUUGUCGUUUUCACCUUUACUCCAUUAUCUCUCACACAGUUAAGCAUUUUGUGUACUUGUAACUUGUAAAAGUCUAUAAUAAGACAUUAGCUCAAAUUAACAUUGAUUUUCCUUAGGAACCAAAACUUGAGAUGCAAAAGGAGCACUGAGUAGAGAGAUACAAAAAAACAGGGACUGCAAUGAGAGGCCAACAGGAAUAAAAAAAAAUUAAAGCCAUGGUGUGAUUAGAUAAUAUUGCCCUAAUGAGAGCCCACUGCCUUAUAACAUGUUGGUUAGUAUAUAUAUUUCAAAAUCAUAAGGUUAUAACUAUUUGUGGAAAAUGAAAAUUUGAAGAGACCAAGAGAAAAAUCUGAACAUAAGACACUAUGAAUUAUGCAAGAGCAUUAAACUACAAAUGUCAAAGACUUCCUCACUUCUUCCACAACGUUCAUAUAAAAAUACACAGAUUGUGCCCUGCCGAGCCCCUAUACACCCUCUUAUGGCUUCUGAAAUUCAGUGUUUAUACACAUUGGGAGGCAAACUACAUAAAGUGGAAAUGUAACUGACUCGGUAGCAAACAUGGUGUAACAACUGUUUUGUUAACUAGUGAGUUAUCACAACCACUGCAGUCUCUAAGUCGAGGGCAUUACAAGGAUACAAAUGGGGUAACCUAGAGUUCUGCGUUGUAAGGGACAGAAUAUCACAUAUACAACAGGAGCUAUGUCUAGAAUCCAAUAACUCACCACUAAAUUCAUGUGAUAUUUGGUCGUUUUCACCCUUUGUCAUGCUAUAUUAUUUCCAAAUGAAUUUAACUCAAGUUGUGUGCCUGCACCUGCUACUUUCUAUAUACAUCGAUCUAUGCUCUUUCUGCUCUAUCCUCCCUCUUUGUAGAUUUGAUCAGGCAAACGCCUUCCCCUUUUUGUUUUGAAUCCUUAUACCUGAACUCCAUAUUUUCUUUCCUCUGUGUAGAGUUGCAACAAUUCCAAUAUACUAUUAGCGUUUAACUACAUGACUCUUUUCUUUUACCUUCCUAUUCCCAAAAGCAAACAACCAUAAGUGCCUCAAAAGUGUAAAAAAGAAAAGAUCCUUCUCAAUAAUCCUUAACGACUAGGGAUAUUUGGAUAAAACUUUCAAUCUCUAAUUUAUCUUCCUUCAUUCACUUGCAAAUUGUUUUUUGUGUAAUACUCACCAUUCAGAUAGCUAGGUACUUCCAUUUUUAGCUAUUUAUUACGCACUUGAUGUUAAUGUAAGUCUCAACGCAUAGAACACAUUUUCGGAGAUCCAUUGAGUCUAAUUUGUACCAUUUAAAAGCAAAAGGAAAAAAAGGAGCUGAAUGUGGCACACCAAAACAGGAGAAAUUCAUCCACAACUAUAUAUAUGCUCAUUAAACACUCCAAUUUUAUUUUACGUAUUGACUGAGAGUCCAUGCAUUGUCUUGUAUUGUUGUAGUUUCUUGUAACUCGAUUAUCUUAUUAUUAUGCCUUAGUUACUGUUCAGAAUGCUUUGCUCUACUUUUUCUGGAUUGCCUUGAAUUGUUUUUUCCUUAAAGUUGAAAGUUUAUCGGAAACAACCCUCUACCUCAAUCUCGCCAGACUACACUUUGUGGGACUGACUACAUUGAGUCAAUGCUAGAAGAAAUAGAAUUUGUAGAAAUUUCAUAAUCAGAGCAGUUCAACUAAAGGAAAAUAACUGAGUAUAGCCCUAUUUUGAACUAAACGCAAUUUCAACUGUCAAUUUAUAACAACUAAAGAUUUUAAUUCUCCUAACAAACACGUAAAAGAAAUACAAUGCGAAAGAGAGAUGAAACGAGCUUACCGGUGAUCACAGAGGAUAAAUUAUCGGAGAUUCCACCGGACGGAGCUUAACGUCGGAGCAAAUUAGAUUUUCCAACGAAACAUUGUUACAAAAACGUGAUUUCACAGAUCGUCAAC